AGGGAUGUAGCUCAGAGGUAAAGCACUUGCUUAGCAUGUGUGAGGCUCUGAGUUCAAUCCCCAGUAUCACCA
rnacentral:tRNA from 1 species